CGUCUCAUCCACUAUGCGUCUAUGCCCAUUGCCCAGUACUAGAAAAGAAAAGAAAAAAAGGUAGAUGGCUUGCUUAGUGCUUACCAUGCGAGAUAUUGCCGACUGCAGUUUGCCGAGGAGCGAGGAGGUGGUUCAGAUGCCGGAGGUCAGAGAAGAAGAUUUGUAUUAUUGGCUUAAUGGCUUCUUAUGGUUGGCUUUUGCAGAUUGGUAUUUUUUUUUCCACAAAAUUGUUCGUUCGACCGUUCCUCUUCCUGAGCAACAGGAGGGGCGGGCUAGCAUCAACAAUUUUUUUUUUCUUCUUUUUAAUGUAAUUUUUUUAAAAAAUAUCUGUAAAAAAAAAUUUUCUCAGCCAUUUAGGGGGGGCGAGCGCCCCUGCCCGCCCCCCUUUGUCUCCGCCACUGUACAUGUGUGACCCAUCUUACAUGCAUGAGUCUUACUUAA